UCUGAAACCAACAUUUAUUUUUUUUUCAUUUUAAAAUACAAAAUAUUUAGCAAUAUUAUAUUAUAGAGUAAACCAUUUGACAGCCUUUCAUGCUCUUUGUGUAGCUUCAACAUUUACCAGAAUGUUCUUCUAUCAUUUCAUAUAUUACUUCCUGCAGUCACCAGGGUUUCACACUGCGUCCUGCUAUCAUUUAGUCUAUAUGUGAGUCUCAAUGGAUGAGCAUGUUGUUUGUUUAAUUUAAUUAUUUUCUCCUCCUACUCCCCUCCCCUCCUCCUCCUCCUCCACUCCUUACCCCAUAAAGCCUUGAGCUAGCAAAAGUAGUAACCUGACAAAUUUGAAAAACAAAGUUGCACAGCAAAUGAAAGAGUGAAAACUGUAAAAGGUCUCUCUUGCCCCCAUCUUGCAAUGCACCCAACACACCUUCAAACCCCCAGGUCAAGCUCUCGUCUGGCGUCUCUAUACCCCCUCAAACUAAAACAUCUACAGUCAGGUCAAGCUCUCGUCUGGCGUCUCUAUACCCCCUCAAAC